AUUGAACGCUGGCGGCAGGCCUAACACAUGCAAGUCGAACGAGAGGAGGACGGGUGAGUAAUGUAGGGGAAAAUGCCCGAUGGAGGGGGAUAACUACUGGAAACGGUAGCUAAUACCGCAUACCAUCGGAUGUGCCCAGAUGGGAUUAGCUAGCUGGUGGGGUAACUGCUCACCUAGGCGACGCACCCUAGCUGGUCUGAGAGGAUGACCAGCCACACUGGAACUGAUACACGGUCCAGACUCCUACGGGAGGCAGCAGGGGGGAAUAUUGCACAAUGGGCGCAAGCCUGAUGCAGCCAUGCCGCGUGUAUGAAGAAGGCCUUCGGGUUGUAAAGUACUUUCAGCGAGGAGGCGUUACUCGCAGAAGAAGCACCGGCUAACUCCGUGCCAGCAGCCGCGGUAAUUC
rnacentral:rRNA from 1 species